rnacentral:rRNA from 1 species
GACGAACGCUGGCGGCGUGCUUAACACAUGCAAGUCGAACGCUGAAGCUCAGCUUUUGUUGGGUGGAUGAGUGGCGAACGGGUGAGUAACACGUGAGUAACCUGCCCCCUUCUUUGGGAUAACGCCCGGAAACGGGUGCUAAUACUGGAUAUUCACUGGUCUUCGCAUGGGGGUUGGUGGAAAGGGUUUUUCUGGUGGGGGAUGGGCUCGCGGCCUAUCAGCUUGUUGGUGGGGUGAUGGCCUACCAAGGCUUUGACGGGUAGCCGGCCUGAGAGGGUGACCGGUCACAUUGGGACUGAGAUACGGCCCAGACUCCGACGGGAGGCAGCAGUGGGGAAUAUUGCACAAUGGGCGCAAGCCUGAUGCAGCGACGCCGCGUGAGGGAUGGAGGCCUUCGGGUUGGGAACCUCUUUCGCUCAUGGUCAAGCCGCAACAAUGGUUGUGGUGAGGGUAGUGGGUAAAGAAGCGCCGGCUAACUACGUG